rnacentral:rRNA from 1 species
GACGAACGCUGGCGGCGUGCUUAACACAUGCAAGUCGAACGGUAAGGCUCCAGCUUGCUGGGGUACACGAGUGGCGAACGGGUGAGUAACACGUGGGUGACCUGCCCUGCACUUCGGGAUAAGCCUGGGAAACUGGGUCUAAUACCGGAUAGGACCAUGGUGUGGAUACUGUGGGGGAAAGUUUUUUCGGUGUGGGAUGGGCCCGCGGCCUAUCAGCUUGUUGGUGGGGUAAUGGCCUACCAAGGCGGCGACGGGUAGCCGGCCUGAGAGGGUGGACGGCCACAUUGGGACUGAGACACGGCCCAGACUCCUACGGGAGGCAGCAGUGGGGAAUAUUGCACAAUGGGCGGAAGCCUGAUGCAGCGACGCCGCGUGGGGGAUGACGGCCUUCGGGUUGUAAACUCCUUUCGCCAGCGACGAAGGGUUUCUGACGGUAGAUGGAGAAGAAGCACCGGCUAACUACGUG